GACGAACGCUGGCGGCGUGCUUAACACAUGCAAGUCGAACGGAAAGGCCCUGCUUUUGUGUGGUGCUCGAGUGGCGAACGGGUGAGUAACACGUGAGUAACCUUCCCUUUACUUUGUGAUAACUUCAGGAAACUGGUGCUAAUACCUGAUAGGAGCUCCUGCUGCAUGGUGGGGGUUGGAAAUUUUCGGCGGUUGGGGAUGGACUCGCGGCUUAUCAGCUUGUUGGUGGGGUAGUGGCUUACCAAGGCUUUGACGGGUAGCCGGCCUGAGAGGGUGACCGGGGACAAGGGGCCUGCGAUACGCAGCAGAGUCCUACGGGAGGCAGCAGGGGGGAAUAUUGCACAAUGGGCGGAAGCCUGAUGAAGCAACGCCGCGUGCGGGAAGACGGCCUUCGGGUUGUAAACCGCAUUAGCCUGUGACGAAGCGUGAGUGACGGUAAUGGGUAAAGAAGCACCGGCUAACUACGUG
rnacentral:rRNA from 1 species